GGUUAAGCGACUAAGCGUACACGGUGGAUGCCCUGGCAGUCAGAGGCGAUGAAGGACGUGCUAAUCUGCGAUAAGCGCCGGUAAGGUGAUAUGAACCGUUAUAACCGGCGAUUUCCGAAUGGGGAAACCCAGUGUGAUUCGUCACACUAUCAUUAACUGAAUCCAUAGGUUAAUGAGGCGAACCGGGGGAACUGAAACAUCUAAGUACCCCGAGGAAAAGAAAUCAACCGAGAUUCCCCCAGUAGCGGCGAGCGAACGGGGAGGAGCCCAGAGCCUGAAUCAGCAUGUGUGUUAGUGGAAGCGUCUGGAAAGGUGCGCGAUACAGGGUGACAGCCCCGUACACAAAAGCGCAUGUGCUGUGAGCUCGAUGAGUAGGGCGGGACACGUGGUAUCCUGUCUGAAUAUGGGGGGACCAUCCUCCAAGGCUAAAUACUCCUGACUGACCGAUAGUGAACCAGUACCGUGAGGGAAAGGCGAAAAGAACCCCGGCGAGGGGAGUGAAAAAGAACCUGAAACCGUGUACGUACAAGCAGUGGGAGCACAGGUUUACCUGUGUGACUGCGUACCUUUUGUAUAAUGGGUCAGCGACUUAUAUUCUGUAGCAAGGUUAACCGUAUAGGGGAGCCGUAGGGAAACCGAGUCUUAACCGGGCGUUAAGUUGCAGGGUAUAGACCCGAAACCCGGUGAUCUAGCCAUGGGCAGGUUGAAGGUUGGGUAACACUAACUGGAGGACCGAACCGACUAAUGUUGAAAAAUUAGCGGAUGACCUGUGGCUGGGGGUGAAAGGCCAAUCAAACCGGGAGAUAGCUGGUUCUCCCCGAAAGCUAUUUAGGUAGCGCCUCGUGAAUUCAUCUCCGGGGGUAGAGCACUGUUUCGGCUAGGGGGCCAUCCCGGCUUACCAACCCGAUGCAAACUGCGAAUACCGGAGAAUGUUAUCACGGGAGACACACGGCGGGUGCUAACGUCCGUCGUGAAGAGGGAAACAACCCAGACCGCCAGCUAAGGUCCCAAAGUCAUGGUUAAGUGGGAAACGAUGUGGGAAGGCCCAGACAGCCAGGAUGUUGGCUUAGAAGCAGCCAUCAUUUAAAGAAAGCGUAAUAGCUCACUGGUCGAGUCGGCCUGCGCGGAAGAUGUAACGGGGCUAAACCAUGCACCGAAGCUGCGGCAGCGAACGUAUCACCCAAGACAACUUUACGGAGUUGACGAUUGACGGAGCGAAGCGACGUCAAAGCGUUCAUUAAAGUCGAGUUGGCUUAGGGAUACGUUCGUUGGGUAGGGGAGCGUUCUGUAAGCCUGUGAAGGUGUGUCGUGAGGCAUGCUGGAGGUAUCAGAAGUGCGAAUGCUGACAUAAGUAACGAUAAAGCGGGUGAAAAGCCCGCUCGCCGGAAGACCAAGGGUUCCUGUCCAACGUUAAUCGGGGCAGGGUGAGUCGACCCCUAAGGCGAGGCCGAAAGGCGUAGUCGAUGGGAAACGGGUUAAUAUUCCCGUACUUGGUGUUACUGCGAAGGGGGGACGGAGAAGGCUAUGUUGGCCGGGCGACGGUUGUCCCGGUUUAAGCGUGUAGGUGUGUGUUCCAGGUAAAUCCGGUUCACUUUAACACUGAGGCGUGACGACGAGGCACUACGGUGCUGAAGCAACAAAUGCCCUGCUUCCAGGAAAAGCCUCUAAGCAUCAGGUAACACGAAAUCGUACCCCAAACCGACACAGGUGGUCAGGUAGAGAAUACCAAGGCGCUUGAGAGAACUCGGGUGAAGGAACUAGGCAAAAUGGUGCCGUAACUUCGGGAGAAGGCACGCUGACACGUAGGUGAAGUGAUUUACUCAUGGAGCUGAAGUCAGUCGAAGAUACCAGCUGGCUGCAACUGUUUAUUAAAAACACAGCACUGUGCAAACACGAAAGUGGACGUAUACGGUGUGACGCCUGCCCGGUGCCGGAAGGUUAAUUGAUGGGGUCAGCGUAAGCGAAGCUCCUGAUCGAAGCCCCGGUAAACGGCGGCCGUAACUAUAACGGUCCUAAGGUAGCGAAAUUCCUUGUCGGGUAAGUUCCGACCUGCACGAAUGGCGUAAUGAUGGCCAGGCUGUCUCCACCCGAGACUCAGUGAAAUUGAACUCGCUGUGAAGAUGCAGUGUACCCGCGGCAAGACGGAAAGACCCCGUGAACCUUUACUAUAGCUUGACACUGAACAUUGAGCCUUGAUGUGUAGGAUAGGUGGGAGGCUUUGAAGUGUGGACGCCAGUCUGCAUGGAGCCGACCUUGAAAUACCACCCUUUAAUGUUUGAUGUUCUAACGUGGACCCGUAAUCCGGGUUGCGGACAGUGUCUGGUGGGUAGUUUGACUGGGGCGGUCUCCUCCUAAAGAGUAACGGAGGAGCACGAAGGUUGGCUAAUCCUGGUCGGACAUCAGGAGGUUAGUGCAAUGGCAUAAGCCAGCUUGACUGCGAGCGUGACGGCGCGAGCAGGUGCGAAAGCAGGUCAUAGUGAUCCGGUGGUUCUGAAUGGAAGGGCCAUCGCUCAACGGAUAAAAGGUACUCCGGGGAUAACAGGCUGAUACCGCCCAAGAGUUCAUAUCGACGGCGGUGUUUGGCACCUCGAUGUCGGCUCAUCACAUCCUGGGGCUGAAGUAGGUCCCAAGGGUAUGGCUGUUCGCCAUUUAAAGUGGUACGCGAGCUGGGUUUAGAACGUCGUGAGACAGUUCGGUCCCUAUCUGCCGUGGGCGCUGGAGAACUGAGGGGGGCUGCUCCUAGUACGAGAGGACCGGAGUGGACGCAUCACUGGUGUUCGGGUUGUCAUGCCAAUGGCACUGCCCGGUAGCUAAAUGCGGAAGAGAUAAGUGCUGAAAGCAUCUAAGCACGAAACUUGCCCCGAGAUGAGUUCUCCCUGAGACUUAGAGUCUCCUGAAGGAACGUUGAAGACGACGACGUUGAUAGGCCGGGUGUGUAAGCGCAGCGAUGCGUUGAGCUAACCGGUACUAAUGAACCGUGAGGCUUAACCUU
rnacentral:rRNA from 1 species